GACAUAGCUUGUGCUGCUCUGAAUGGAAUCAAAAUGGGCGAUAAAACUCUCACUGUUAGACGAGCCAACCAGGGAGCUAACCAACCUAAGCCUGAGCAAGAGAAUGUUCUGUUACAUGCCCAGCAGCAAAUUGCAUUGCAGAGACUUAUGUUACAGCCUGUCCCUACUAAAGUUGUAUGCCUGACUCAAGUAGUUAGUGUGGAUGAGCUCAAAGAUGAUGAGGAGUAUGAAGAGAUUUUGGAAGACAUGAGAAUGGAAGGCGGGAA
rnacentral:misc_RNA from 1 species